GAGAAGCACAAGGACUGGACUUUGACAGGAAGCAACGAGGCAAGAGGGAAGCUCGAGAACAGGUUUUGCUGAGGAUUCCCCCCAAGAAAAGUGCUCCCCGGGAGGCCGUUCCUGGCACCAAGACUGGCGGAGCCACCACACCCGUUAAAGGGAUCCACCUGGACAGCGAUCAGGCAAGCACCUCCAAGGAUCACGUAGGACCAGCAGAAGCAGCGUAAAGUAUUGGAACUUUGAAUCUGACAUCAGAAAGACCUGCACUCAGCCGGGCACGGUGGCUCACGAUUGUAAUCCCAGGCCGAGGCGGUGGAUCACUUGAGAUUCACUGAUUCUAGGUAAAUCAGAGGAACAAGCAACAUGAACAGAAAAAAUGUAGAAAAUGCAAUUAUGCUGAAGUACAAUUGUUGUUUCAGAAGUCCAGCAUCUGGUGUACUUAACAAUAGAGAAUAUAUUAAAUUUUUCCAAAAUAAAAAAAACAAGUAGGAGACUCGCUAGUGAAAAUUAAAUGGCAUAUGCAAAGUCUUUAAUACAGCAUUUGGUACAUGAGAGGGACUCAGUAAAUUUUAGUAACUUAUAAUUAUUAGGAAGACUAUGACUGCCCCCAUUUAAAAGAUCAGCAGUCUGAGGCUUAUAAAGACCAAGACUUAUUCAAGUCUUGUGAUUUCCAGCCUGAGGCUCUUUCUACUUUGUGAAAACUGAGAGACUGUGGCUCAGUGGCUCUGAGCUCAGAGGGCUUUACCUGCCAAAGGUCCAGGCUGAGAACACUAAUGUUAUAAUAGUGACAAAUGGUGGCGUCAGGCUUAUAUUUAGGGUUGUCUAUUUUGGGAUGAAUCUACUCCCCCUGGUAAUUGGGAUUUUCAAUGAUCCAAGGUUUCCAUUCUCCCUAAGCAAAGAACCAGUGAACAAGGCAUUAGUAUUUUGUCAUUCUUCUGAUCUCAUGCAAUCAGAAAGGCCAAUUGAUAUGGUUUGGAUCUGUGUCCCCACCCAAAUCUCAUGUCAAAUUGUAAUCCCCAGUGUUGGAGGUGAGGCCUGGUGGGAGGUGAUUGGAUCAUGGGGGCAGAGUUCUCAUAAAUGGUUUAGCACGAUCCCCCCUUGGUACUGCAUAGUGAGUGAGUUAUCAUGAUAUCUGGUUACUUUUAAAUUGUGUAGCACCUCCCCCCUUUCUCUCUUGCUCCUGCUCCCACCGUGUGAGAAACCCUGCCAUCACUUUCCGCCAUCACAGUGGACACCUGAGGCCUCCCCAGAAGCUGAUGCUGCCAUGCUUUCUGUAUAGCUAUAGCCUGCAGACCCAUGAGCCAAUUAAGCCUCUUUUCUUUAUAAAUUACCCAGUCUCAGGUAUUUCUUUAUAGCAAUGCAAGAAUGGACUAAUACACCAAUUGAUUUAUGAGGCAGUUGUGUAUUAGACAUAAGGAUUCAGAGAAGGAUUCCAGGAGCUUCUUUCCCUUUCUUUGAGUUAAUGCACAAGAUUCUUUCAAAUUCCCCUUGCUACCCAGAGGAAGCCAAGCGAGGUGGCAGGGACCCAUUCUGAGCUUGGCCCCAUGUCUGCACCAGCUCAUUCAUGAAAUAAAGAAAAUGUAGCUUCUCAGAGAAUAUCAUCUGAGUAUCCUGGCAGUUGAGGCCGUUCUCUUCCUGGUGUGUAGUGUAGGAAACUGUGGCCAAAUAAAAUCAUGCUUGCUUCAGUCAGUUUUACCUCUGGACAAUUUGACACUGAUUCCUUUCGUUCUUCUUGCUUCUAACAUGAGGUCAGGAGUUAGCUCUUAAAAAUAAGUGUCCCUUGGCUGGGUGCAGUGGUUCACUCCUGUAAUCCUAGCACUUUGGGAGGCAAAGGCAGGCGGAUCGCUUGAGGUCAGGAAUUCAAAACCAGCCUGGCCAAUAGAGUGAAACCGCGUCUCUACUGCAAAUACAAAAAAUUAGCCAGGCGUGGUGGCACGUGCCUGUAGUCCCAGCUACUCGGGAGGCUGAGGCAUGAGAAUCUCUUGAGCCCAGGAGGUGGAGGUUGCAGUAAGCCGAGAUCACGUCACUGCACUGCAGCCUGGGUGACAGAGCAACGCUCUGUCUCAAAAUAAAUGAAUAAAUAAAUAAAAUAAAAAGUGUCCCUACCCCUUGCAUUUUUGGCUCAUUCAUGGACACCCUUUCUCCUUCUGGCCUGUUUCUAAGACUUCCAGUUCCUGACCCCAAACCCAUGUCCUAUUUUGACCACAUUCCUGUGACUGGCUGCUUUCCACCACUCUGGACAAACUCCAGGCCCAGGGCUGCCUGGCCCUAUACCUGUCAAAGUUGGCCUUUACCAGCCCACCCCGUCCAACGUAGGCAUAGCCCUGUGAGCAGGGCUCAGAUGAGGGUACAGUCUUAUUUGCGGGGUUUAGGGGAAGGGAAGAUGACCACAGGAUCUCAGAAUUUCUGUUUCAUCAAUUAGCGUUGACAUGUCUUUUGUCUCAUUUCUCACACCCAUUGGAAAGAGAGACCCCCCUCACCUUAUACUUCGGAUUUGGCAUCAGAGGCCUUUCCCACUCCCCAUCCAUAGCCUCCUUCCAGUUAUCUGGCUUCUUGGCUUCUGGAUCCAGGAUGUAUUCAAAGUCUUCCCAGUACUAAAAUGAAAUGUUCCUUCAUGAGGAUAGAUGCGUAGGCUGAGAAAAAACUGGGGUCCAGGCUGGGCGUGGUGGCUCACAUCUAUAAUCCUAGCACUUUGGAGGCCAACGUGGGAGGACUGCUUGAGCCCAGGAGUUCAAGACCGGCCUGGGCAAUAUAGUGAGACCCCAUCCCUACCCCAAAGAACUUUAAAAAUUAGGCAAGUGUGGUGGCAUGCACCUGGUGGGAGGAUCUGAGCCCAGGAGGCAGAGGUCACAGUGAGCCAUGAUCAUGCCAUUGCACUCUAGCCUGGGUGACAGAGCGAGAUCAUCUCAAAAA
rnacentral:lncRNA from 1 species